UAACUCCGGUUCCCUUUUAAAUCGAAAAAUCUUUCGCCUUUUAUUAAAGAUUUCCGUGGUGGGGAACACUCAAAGGAGUCUAGAAAAUAAUUUUUAAACCGCUUGAUUUCGAUCGGGCU